GACAUACUCCCUCCGUUCGAAAUUACUUGUCUCAAAAAAUGAAUGUAUCUAGAACUAAAAUAUGUCUAGAUACAUCCAUUUCUGCGACAAGUAAUUCCGAACGGAGGGAGUAGAAC
rfam:Triticum aestivum genome assembly, contig: Triticum_aestivum_CS42_TGACv1_scaffold_556135_7AL